GAUGAACGCUAGCGGCAGGCCUAAUACAUGCAAGUCGAACGGGAUCUGAGGGCAGCUUGCUACCCGAUUUGAGAGUGGCGCACGGGUGCGUAACGCGUGAGCAACCUACCCAUAUCAGGGGGAUAGCCCGAAGAAAUUCGGAUUAACACCGCAUAAUAAUACGCUAACACAUGUUGAUGUAUUUAAAUAUUUAUAGGAUAUGGAUGGGCUAGCGUGACAUUAGCUAGUUGGUAAGGUAACGGCUUACCAAGGCGACGAUGUCUAGGGGCUCUGAGAGGAGAAUCCCCCACACUGGUACUGAGACACGGACCAGACUCCUACGGGAGGCAGCAGUAAGGAAUAUUGGUCAAUGGGCGCAAGCCUGAACCAGCCAUGCCGCGUGCAGGAUGACUGCCCUAUGGGUUGUAAACUGCUUUUGUUAGGGAAUAAACCUUCUUACGUGUAAGGAGCUGAAUGUACCUAAAGAAUAAGGAUCGGCUAACUCCGUGCCAGCCGCCGCGGUAA
rnacentral:rRNA from 1 species